UAGAUAAUUUACUGCAAACCAAUUAGUUUGAAUGACUAUCUGUUCCUGUCCAAAUUAAAGAUAAUAAAGUUGCGUGCACGCAGAAGUAAAUUCACACUGAGACACAAAGUUCAGGGUAAUGAAAGAACUUCGGAGAAGUUUAAUGGCUUCUGACAGAAAAUGGGUGCGCAGACCCUUUUAAAGGCAUUAUUACAUCAUUGAAGAAAAUCAAGAUAUAGACAUUGUUAAUUGGCUUAGGUGCUAAGAUGUUAGUAAAAUGCCCUCCCUAUGGGGUGUACCAUCUUAAGUCACUAUCUUCGUCAUGCUUUUUCUCCUCCAGGUUUUAGCGCCAUUUUGCUAACAUGAGGAGCUCACUCGACGGGAGGGGCCUUUU